GAUGAAGAACGUAGCGAAAUGCGAUAAGUAGUGUGAAUUGCAGAAUUCAGUGAAUCAUCGAAUCUUUGAACGCACAUUGCGCCCCUUGGUAUCCCGAGGGGCAUGCCUGUUCGAGCGUCAUUUCACCACUCAAGCCUGGCUUGGUGUUGGGCGACGUCCUCUUUGGGGACGCGCCUCGAAACGCUCGGCGGCGUGGCACCGGGUUUAAGCGUAGCAGAAUCUUUCGCUUUGGAAGUCGGGGCCCCGUCUGCCGGAAGACCUGCUCGCAAGGUUGACCUCGGAUCAGGCAGGGAUACCCGCUGAACUUAAGCAUAUCAAUAAGCGGAGGA
rnacentral:misc_RNA from 1 species